rnacentral:RNase_P_RNA from 1 species
AAAGGAAGCCGCUAACGGCGGCCGGGUAUACGAAUCAGGGGUCGAGGCGUUGGAGCAAUUCGCGCUUUGGUUCCGGACUCAAAGCCUAGGGAAAGUACCACAGAGACAAUACUAGCCGGUGCUUCGCACCGGAAUGUCCAAAGUCCAAGAGACAAGCUCCAAGUUUGGAACUUGUACGUUGGAACUUGUACGUUCCGAUGCGUAGCAUCGGUGAAAGGUGAAAAGUGCGUCGAAGUCCGCAAGGGCUACGGCGUUCGUCUCCCGGUAACGGGAUGACGUGGCAAACCCUUCCUGGUGCAAGAACAAGUUUGGUAGUUCGCUAGAGCUCCGGAGCAAUCCGGAGACAAGAGAGAUUGCCAUCUCCUCCGCGCAAGCGGGGCAGACAAAAUUCGGCUUACAGACAUCUCCGAAGA